GGCUCAGAUUGAACGCUGGCGGCAUGCCUUACACAUGCAAGUCGAACGGCAGCGGGGACUUCGGUCCGCCGGCGAGUGGCGAACGGGUGAGUAAUGUAUCGGAACGUACCUUUCAGUGGGGGAUAACGUAGCGAAAGUUACGCUAAUACCGCAUAUUCUGUGAGCAGGAAAGCAGGGGAUCGCAAGACCUUGCGCUGAUUGAGCGGCCGAUAUCAGAUUAGCUAGUUGGUGAGGUAAAGGCUCACCAAGGCGACGAUCUGUAGCGGGUCUGAGAGGAUGAUCCGCCACACUGGAACUGAGACACGGUCCAGACUCCUACGGGAGGCAGCAGUGGGGAAUUUUGGACAAUGGGGGAAACCCUGAUCCAGCAAUGCCGCGUGAGUGAAGAAGGCCUUCGGGUUGUAAAGCUCUUUUGUCAGGGAAGAAACACCGGCUCUAACACAGUCCGGGAAUGACGGUACCUGAAGAAUAAGCACCGGCUAACUACGUG
rnacentral:rRNA from 1 species